AUUCUUUCUUUCUUUUCUUUUCUUUACUUUUUUUUUCUUUUUUCUGUCUCAAGCUCAUCCCUGGGCCUGGGAGACCUGUCAGGGAAGAAGUCCAGUCUCACAGAGGGUGGCAAAGAGCAGCCCCGACACCAACCCCUGGGUGUCCAAAGGAGACCUCACUCGGGACAUCAGAGCAGGCGGGUAGGUUACUGCUUACACACAGCCCAGAUCCCUUGUCCCAGGUCCCCCAGGGCAAAGGGAUGGGGUGCAGGCAGCCGGCAGGGGUGGAGCUGUGGAACCAGGCCGAAGGUUCGAGAAGCGACGAGUCAGCAGCGAACAUCAUAACAGGCACCCAGCAAGCUCAUUCCCUUUCUGCAAGGAGCAGGAAGUCGCUCCGGGGUUUGGACCCACACCAGGCCUUUCGCCUGCCGACAGCUCCCGUGGUUUCUCCCCAACAUGCAGAGAUGGAGCCCCUUGUUUUGAGCUCGCCGGGCCAGGGUGGCGGGGUUGCUACGCUCAGUCCAAGAUGAUCCAAAUAGCGAGGCUGGCCGCCUUUCCAUUCCGUCUGAUGACCUGCACAGGGGUCCACGGACGUCCCACUAGAGUGUGGCGAUGGAUUUUAGAGUCCCAGGUCCACAGAAAGCUGUCCUUAAUAUACCUAUGAACCACCCCCCGUCCCUGACCAGAGACCCAGCCAUCAGGUGUCCCCAGAGCUGGCAAAACCACGGCACAAACAGUCCUUAGGAAUAGUGUCCAAGACCAGGGUGAUGGCUUCCAGUUUGGCCCCACAUGGAGGGUGGCUGGCCAGCAGGGUCAGGAGGUGGUCCCCCCUACUUCGAGGAAUACCUGCAGACAGAGGCUACCUCCCUCCCCAGAGGCUGUGAUCAGCAACAGAAACCUGGGGUUAAUGGUGUCCUUGUCCUGGGGGAUGACCAGGUCCCAAAGGCGGGGCUGCUAACACAUCCUGCAGCGCUGCCUCUAGCGCCACCUGCUGUUCAGGUCUGGGGGUGCCUUCCACAGACCUGGCCAAGGGGUGCAGAAGGCUCAACAGUUUCCCCCAGUGCUGGGGAGUGGAGUGAGCGGGCUUUCCUCCUUAGCUGGGUGGGGUGGUGGGGCAGUGCAAGAAGUUUCUUUCCAGUCUCAGAGGUAAGUCUCUGAGUCACAACCCAUGCACGUUGCUCCCAGAAUUUGAAUUGGGUGGCUGGUCCCUGUCAGGAAGUCUGACCCCUCUUUUUACAGAUAGGAAACCUGAAGCUCAGAGAGAUCGGUAACUUGCCUAGAGUUGCACAGCAAGUGAGUGGCAGGGCCGGGAUUUGGACCCACACCAGGCCUUUCGCCUGCGCCGAUGGCUGUUGGUCUCUCCUCACGGGAGGCUCCUUCCCCGUCUCAGGACCAUCUGUGUCCUUAUUUUUGUUCCAUCUGCAGGCUGAUCUCCAGGACUGCCUGGGACUGUGGGUGUGGGCAGCUGCUGACCCAGGCUCCCCGGGCCUGCUUCCUGCUGCUGAUGUUUAUCCACCAACUCAACCUGGCAAGGCCUGGGGGCAGGUCCUGGACCACCCGGGCCAGUUGCCAACUCUGGAACUCAGGGGGUCCUGGGGAUGCAGGAGUGGCUGUGUUCUCUCCUUCCCGUCCCGGCCAGCGCCCAGCUCACCUGUGCCAUCUCUGUGGCCUCCUGAAUGCCCCCACUGGAGUCCUCCAGCCUCCCUGCCUCCCUCCUCCAUUCUUAAUCAAGUGGUGGGGUGGGGUGACCUGCUCACCGCUCAGGGUGCACCCCCAUUCCCUAAGCAAGAUGGCCUUUGGCCCUGGAGCCUGGCGUGGCCCGUGUCAUUGAGUGGGAUAUGAAGCUUGUGCUCUGACUUCAGGGAAACUGUUCUUUCUUCCCUUCAGCAGCUGCCGGAAGAGACUUUCUCCCUGCUGAGUAGCAGGAUGUGGGGAGGUGACCGGUGGAGAACCUGGGUCAUUGGAGGUGCGGGUGGAAUAGGGUGGGAGGUGGGGGUGGGAAGAGAAGGGGCGAGGCAUGGAUGAUCCUCUAGGGAGCCUGAGCGUUAAAUUGGCAUCCCAGAAGCCAGAGCAGGGAGAUGGAGAGAACCUGCAUCUCCCUUGACAUUUGAGCCACUGGGUCAAGCCACACCUGAUACCCACCGUAUGAGUCUGAGUCUCUUUCGGAAACAAAAUCAGGUAAUUUGAGGAGCGUUUAAUGAACAAUUCAUAAAGGUGGGGCUGGGUGAAUGCUGAGCACCCCAGGGCCAGUAAUAGAGGCGCUGCUACUCCUCUUGGGUCUGAAAAUGGCGAGGGGAAGGAGCAGGCAUUAGGCCUGGAGAGAGGAGCAGGUGGAAAGGGUGCUCAGCCCUUGGUGGCCCCCGCAGGGACUUGAGCCAUGAAGAAGCAAGAGGUGUUCGCAGGCGGAAUCCACGAGGGCCAUCCUCUGGGCGCAGAGGCUCUGGGUGAACUGAUGGAGACCACCCAGAAUGUUCCCCGGUCGGUCUCCAGCCGUAUGUUCCCUUGACCGUUGGAGAGGCCUGGUGAGUGGCCCUUCUUCUUGCCCCAUGAGGGACCAACUGCCACAACCCGAGGCCCGGUCCCAACCCCAUGUCUUUUCUCAGCCUCGACCCUUCCCUCACCUCUGGACCUCUUCUCUCCCUGACCUUCUCCCUCCCCUCCUUAGGGUUCCUAACCCAGAAACGGAAGAGAAAAAAGCAGAAGAGCACAACUAAAAGAUGCCUGGCUCAGCUCCAUGUUCCUCUGCUUACCUUGCUCUGAGUCCUUGGGCAAGUGGCCUACCCUCUCUGAGCCUCAGUUUCCUCCUCCAUCACCUGCCAGGCACCCCCCCUUCCUCCCAGACCUCUGUGCUCAGCAAGGCAUGCUGGGAACAGCCCUGGCCUACCUUGACCUCUGGUUUGCCGUUUGUCCUUGGGCAGAUCUCUACCUUCCCCAGCCUCAGUUUCCUCAUCUGUAACCUCAGGGUCUAUGUUGGGGGGUUCCAAGGCCCCCCGUCACCCCCUUUCUCUCUGGCUCUUCUGUGACUCUCUGACUCUCAGCUGCUCAGCUCGACACGCAGCCUGGUGGCUUCCUCCAGCCGGGAGGGGAGUCACUGAGGGAGCGGGCUGGCGGCUCGGCAGGGCCUGGCACGUCUGCCGUUUGUGUUUAAUUACUCUGGCAACUGUUUACUGCCUUCUCGAUUUCCUGAGCAAACAGCCUCAUUAUUUGGAGUAAUUUUCUGGCACUCGCAUAAGUUGUGAGGAAUGGAAGCUUCGGGGCUUGUCCCUGAUCCAUCCCCCACAGGGACACCAGGGCCCUACGGCUCUGGGUCCCUGGGCCCCUCUGACCUCUGCAGGUUUGCUCAGUCUGUAGGCUGAGGCUCUGCUGCCUAGUGGUUAGGGCUGAGCCUCGGAGCACAGUAGCCCAGGUUUACCACUGUGCAACCUCCGGCGAGCUCCUCUGCUCUGGGAGCCUCAGUUUCCUCAUCUGUGAAAGGGUCUUCCCAGUUCCUCUCCCUCCUCAGGCACUGGCCUCCUCCAUUUUUACCUGGUGGCACUGGGGGCUCCCACAGUCUUUCCUGAUCUUGUCCCUCUCCUGGUCAUUAUUAUUUAGUUUAAAUUUGGAUUCUGACUAACGCUGGGCUGGUCCUGGAUCCUGCUCGCAGACCCUUGAAAGGUUGGUCUGGACCCCUGAUCCACUGUCCCUUCCUGCUGUGGUCUGGGUGUUUGGGCUCCGCCUCACCCCACCUCUGGAAGCUUCCGGUGGGGCCUUGGGCACCCUCUUGCUCACCUGCCUUGUGUCGCGUUCCACGACUGCACACUCAGGGUCCCUCCAGGUGGACCCGGCUGCACAAAAUAACCACACAGAGACACAGAAAUAGCUUUUCCUUUGGGUUCUGUGGCAGCUCCUCCACCUUAGAGGUCCGUGGACAGAGAGUGAGGAGCACGUGCUGAGCCCUUUUACUGGGAAGAAGCCGUUCAAAUGAGGCAGGGGUGGGAUUACAGAGGAACAGGUGAGCGUAGCCCAACCCCUCUGGGUGCCACCUGCUCCUAGGGCCACGCCUUGCUAUCCCAUCCAGGGAAAAGCCCACGUCACGAGUCAGGGCACGACCGAGCCAGACUACAGUGAUCUUUCAGGUCCCCGUGGUGCAUCAGGACUUAAAGGCGUGUCAUUGGAGUGGCCCCCCACAGCCUUGGCCCUCCACCCCAAGCUCCUCUUGCUGAUUUUAUCUUUCCCUUCGCUCUCCAAACUGGGUACCCCUGGGAACCAACUCCCCCAUUCUGCAGGGUGGACCCUUCAUUUCAGUUCAACUUGGCCGUUCAGCCUGCCCGCCAGACCCUGCGCCAGGCCCACUUGCCACCCACCUCCCACCAAGUGCCCAGCAGAGCCACCUUUUGUGCCUGCCCGAAGCCCUGAACCUGGGGCUAGAAAGCCAAAUGCAGACCUCGCUGAGGAGGGAAGAGUUUGGCCCCAGCUCCCCGACACCUGGGGCAGGACUGGCCAGCAGCCAGGCUCUGCAGCCAGGGGCCUGGGCCUGCUUUCCUCUGGAGUGGCAGGUCUUGGAGUCUUGCCCCUUGAGACUGAGGAAGCCCUGGGUCCUUGGACUCACCCGGCCACUCUCUGCAGGAAGCACCACUGUCCUCCCUCAGCCUUGCCAGGGCUUUCUUGGUGUGGUGGACUUUAAGGCCUGGCCCCAGACUCCUCCCACCUGAUUUGCAUACCACAACAUGCAACUUUGUAACACCAAGUAUCUACUUGUGUCCCUCUUGAGUCGGGAUAGCCUGUGGCUUGCUUUCACCACAGGCUUCAGGAAAAGACAUUUUGUCCUCUUGGAAUGUUGACCAAGACCCCCUCAUUAGGACCCUGCUGCAUCUGGUGGAGGACAAGGGGCAGGGAGAACUGAAGCCUCUGGUCACCAGCCAGCUGUGAGUGAGGCUCCCUGACUUUCUGGACCAGACUGACUGCAGCACAAGAGUAGGUCCAUGUGGGACCAGCAGAGAACCAUCUCACAACUGUAGUGUCAUAAGAAAGGAAGCGAUGUGUCCUGACUGUGAAGCUAAAUGGUUUCAUUUUCACCAAACAGUCAGGGUGAGUGAGGCUCUGGUGCCGUAACAAGCAAGUCCCGAAGAACUGACACAGGCUUUUCUUGCUCUCCCAACUUGUCUGCUGCAGUCAGCAGGGGGACUCAUCACGGACUCCCAGGCUUCCCUGUCUUAAGAUGCCAACAUCUCAACAUGUGCUUCUAUAAUUCCUGUGACAGGAGCAUUAAGGUGACUCUCAAACGCCCCCUCCUGGAAGGGACACUCAUCACCUCUAUCCAUCUCUCUCUCCCUGACCAACUUAAGCGUCCUGGCUACCUUUGAGAUCUAGACCAAGGGACGCGCUAUUGUCCUGUGGCCCUGAAGAAGGACUGAUCAUUGGCGACCCCAGCUGUGUCCUCCGCGUGGUCAGAUGCAGACCUAAGACUUUAUGACCUCGUGUUCCAGGCUGCCCUGUUUCACCUCCUGAUGUGUUCUUAGAAACUAUUCAUUUCAUUAUUGCUCCAUGAUUUACGCAACUUGUCUUCUAUUUAUAUAAUCUGGAUGGAGUCACUUUUUGCUAUCACAAAUGACACUUCAAUUAAUAUUUUAUUCUUUAAUUAUCCUCCAAAUUUAUAUUUUGG